CUCAUAGCGUAUAUUAAGUUGUUGCAGUUAGAACGCUCGUAGUCGGAUUUCGGGGCGGGCCGACCGGUCUGCCGAUGGGUAUGCACUGGCCGGCGCGUCCUUCCUCUCGGAGACCGUUCCUACUCUUAACUGAGCGGGAGCGGGAGACGGGACUUUUACUUUGAAAAAAUCAGAGUGUUUCAAGCAGGCAGCUCGCUCUUGCAUGGAUUAGCAUGGGAUAAUGAAAUAGGACUUUGGUGCUAUUUUGUUGGUUUCGAACACCGAAGUAAUGAUGAGAAGGGACAGUCAGGGGCACUCGUAUUCCGCCGAGAGAGGUGAAAUUCUCAGACCAGCGGAAGACGAACCACUGCGAAAGCAUUUGCCAGGGAUGUUUUCACUGAUCAAGAACGAAAGUUAGGGGAUCGAAGACGAUCAGAUACCGUCGUAGUCUUAACCAUAAACCAUGCCGACUAGGGAUCGGAGGAUGUUCACAUAUUGACUCCUUCGGCACCUUACGGGAAACUAAAGUCUUUGGGUUCCGGGGGGAGUAUGGUCGCAAGGCUGAAACUUAAAGGAAUUGACGGAAGGGCACCACCAGGUGUGGAGCCUGCGGCUUA
rnacentral:rRNA from 1 species